GAUGUGGGAUUCAGGACUCCCCCUUGGGUCCGUGACAUUCUCCCGCACCCAACCUCGUGACGCCCUCGUCACGGAGGCCGGCCACCCUGCCUACCUCCCUCGAGGCGCUCGGCGUGAAUCGAACGGUUUAGGGCUGGCUCUGAUACCACUUGUCACGGGUCGAGACUCAAGCUCCGAACCCGCGCGGCUCCGGGACCCGGGCAUUCACCCUUCCGGCGUCCCAGAUCAGCCUUCCGCCACGGUUCACACCCUUGUGAGGUAUUGUCCGCUCUGGCCCCCCUAGCCUCACGGUUUUGUCCUACAAAAGGCGCCUCACAAGGCGGAGAUGGUGUGAACCCUUUUAUACCCCAGUGACCUUCCUAUUAUGUUCGAUGUGGGAUUCAGGACUCCCCCUUGGGUCCGUGACAUUUCUUGUCACGGGUCGAGACUCAAGCUUCGAACCCGCGCGGCUCCAGGACCCGGGCAUUCACCCUUCCGGCGUCCCAGAUCAGCCUUCCGCCACGGUUCACACCCUUGUGAGGUAUUGUCCGCUCUGGCCCCCCUGGCCUCACGGUUUUGUCCUACAAAAGGCGCCUCACAAGGCGGAGAUGGUGUGAACCCUUUUAUACCCCAGUGACCUUCCUAUUAUGUUCGAUGUGGGAUUCAGGACUCCCCCUUGGGUCCGUGACAUUCUCCCGCACCCAACCUCGUGACGCCCUCGUCACGAAGGCCGGCCACCCUGCCUACCUCCCUCGAGGCGCUCGGCGUGGAUCGAACGGUAUAGGGCUGGCUCUGAUACCACUUGUCACGGGUCGAGACUCAAGC
rnacentral:lncRNA from 1 species